rnacentral:rRNA from 1 species
GACAGAGGCCUCGAGCGUUAGGCGGAAUCACUGGGCUUAAAGCGUGUGUAGGCGGAUCGUUAAGUACCUUGUGAAAUCCCACGGCUCAACCGUGGAACGGCUGGGUAUACUGGCGGUCUUGGGCCAUUCAGGGGCGACUGGAACAAGCGGUGGAACGGUGAAAUGCGUAGAUAUCGCUUGGAACGCCGAAGGUGAAAACAGGUCGCUGGGGAUGUGCCGACGCUGAGACACGAAAGCCAGGGGAGCAAACGGG